AAAUUGAAGAGUUUGAUCAUGGCUCAGAUUGAACGCUGGCGGCAGGCCUAACACAUGCAAGUCGAGCGGUAGCACAGAGAGCUUGCUCUCGGGUGACGAGCGGCGGACGGGUGAGUAAUGUCUGGGAAACUGCCUGAUGGAGGGGGAUAACUACUGGAAACGGUAGCUAAUACCGCAUAACGUCGCAAGACCAAAGUGGGGGACCUUCGGGCCUCAUGCCAUCAGAUGUGCCCAGAUGGGAUUAGCUAGUAGGUGGGGUAACGGCUCACCUAGGCGACGAUCCCUAGCUGGUCUGAGAGGAUGACCAGCCACACUGGAACUGAGACACGGUCCAGACUCCUACGGGAGGCAGCAGUGGGGAAUAUUGCACAAUGGGCGCAAGCCUGAUGCAGCCAUGCCGCGUGUAUGAAGAAGGCCUUCGGGUUGUAAAGUACUUUCAGCGGGGAGGAAGGCGAUAAGGUUAAUAACCUUGUCGAUUGACGUUACCCGCAGAAGAAGCACCGGCUAACUCCGUGCCAGCAGCCGCGGUAAUACGGAGGGUGCAAGCGUUAAUCGGAAUUACUGGGCGUAAAGCGCACGCAGGCGGUCUGUCAAGUCGGAUGUGAAAUCCCCGGGCUCAACCUGGGAACUGCAUUCGAAACUGGCAGGCUAGAGUCUUGUAGAGGGGGGUAGAAUUCCAGGUGUAGCGGUGAAAUGCGUAGAGAUCUGGAGGAAUACCGGUGGCGAAGGCGGCCCCCUGGACAAAGACUGACGCUCAGGUGCGAAAGCGUGGGGAGCAAACAGGAUUAGAUACCCUGGUAGUCCACGCCGUAAACGAUGUCGAUUUGGAGGUUGUGCCCUUGAGGCGUGGCUUCCGGAGCUAACGCGUUAAAUCGACCGCCUGGGGAGUACGGCCGCAAGGUUAAAACUCAAAUGAAUUGACGGGGGCCCGCACAAGCGGUGGAGCAUGUGGUUUAAUUCGAUGCAACGCGAAGAACCUUACCUGGUCUUGACAUCCACAGAACUUAGCAGAGAUGCUUUGGUGCCUUCGGGAACUGUGAGACAGGUGCUGCAUGGCUGUCGUCAGCUCGUGUUGUGAAAUGUUGGGUUAAGUCCCGCAACGAGCGCAACCCUUAUCCUUUGUUGCCAGCGGUCCGGCCGGGAACUCAAAGGAGACUGCCAGUGAUAAACUGGAGGAAGGUGGGGAUGACGUCAAGUCAUCAUGGCCCUUACGACCAGGGCUACACACGUGCUACAAUGGCGCAUACAAAGAGAAGCGACCUCGCGAGAGCAAGCGGACCUCAUAAAGUGCGUCGUAGUCCGGAUUGGAGUCUGCAACUCGACUCCAUGAAGUCGGAAUCGCUAGUAAUCGUAGAUCAGAAUGCUACGGUGAAUACGUUCCCGGGCCUUGUACACACCGCCCGUCACACCAUGGGAGUGGGUUGCAAAAGAAGUAGGUAGCUUAACCUUCGGGAGGGCGCUUACCACUUUGUGAUUCAUGACUGGGGUGAAGUCGUAACAAGGUAACCGUAGGGGAACCUGCGGUUGGAUCACCUCCUUACCUUAAAGAA
rnacentral:rRNA from 1 species